rnacentral:lncRNA from 10 species
GGAAGUUCACCACAACACCCAUAUCUUCCAUGAUCUGAUCUGGGAAGUAACCAUGACUGUGACUGUAAUAUCUAUACCGUCACCAAAAAUAAUGACCUGUGAACUGAGAAAUCUGUCAGAUUGCCACUGCUAUCUUCACUCCAUCAUCUAAUGAUGCUUCAAGCCCAGUAUCUAGAAAUCAUCUCAACUGGCUGAACUGUGGGCUCAGAAAUUGGGUCUAUCUUCUGCUCUCACCGUUAAUCUUUGUUUUUCUUUAUGUUUCCAUAAAAAUACCCCUCAUGCCCAAGACUAGGAGAUUGGUUCGACAAAAUACGGUGUAGUGUGCCUACGUUAGGUCUUUGGUGCUGAUUGAUAUUUGUUCUGAUGUAUGUUCCUUCCCUUUGCAGAUCCUUACCUCACAAGGCCUGACCAGUGUCUUCAAUAAACCCACUUCCUUGUUUGUGAAACAUCUGGGGAAGUAUUAAAUGGGGGAAAGGAAGGAAUUAACAGCCCACCAAAAUGGUGUGAAAAUUACUUUAAACUCAAAACAUCUUCACAAUCAGCAGCCACAGAAAGAAACAUUAUCUAAACUUAGGCAGAGCCUCCUGAAUUACAGCUUCUAUGACCCCCUCUGAGGGAGUUUCCCGAUUGUGAGAAGACUCAUCCUAGGAUCAGCGAGUGAGGAUUUAGCUGUCCCUUAUCAUCACAAGGCCCAAUAGAAACUUCCCUACUUUCCCAUGGAGUCCAAACCCCACUCCCCCUCUCUGUUAAGUUGGUAUAUAAACCUUUAACUCUGCAGCCAUAAAAAAGAAUGAGAUCAUGUCCUUUGCAGGGAAGUGGGUGGAGCCUGUAAACCAUUAUCCUAAGCAAACUAACACAGGAACAAAUACUGCAUGUUCUCACUUAUAAGUGGGAGCUAAAGGAUGGGAACACAUGGACACACAGAGGGGAACAACACACACUGGGCCCUAUUGGAGGGUGGAGGUUGUGAGGAGGGAGAGGAUCAGAAAAAAUAACUAAUAGGUACUGGGCUUAAUGGCUGGGUGAUGAAAUAAUCUGUUCAACAAACCCUCAUGACACACGUUUACCUAUGUAUCAAACCUGCACUUGUACCCCU